UACCAGCACCCCGAGUGGUCGGGACGAUUAUUGGGCCUAAAGCAUCCGUAGCCGGUCAUGCAAGUCUUCCGUUAAAUCCAGCCGCUCAACGGUUGGGCUGCGGAAGAUACUACGUGGCUAGGAGGCGGGAGAGGCAAGCGGUACUCAGUGGGUAGGGGUAAAAUCCUUUGAUCCAUUGAAGACCACCAGUGGCGAAGGCGGCUUGCCAGAACGCGCUCGACGGUGAGGGAUGAAAGCUGGGGGAGCAAACCGG
rnacentral:rRNA from 1 species